ensembl:misc_RNA 7SK 7SK RNA
GGAUGUAAGGGCGAUCUGGCUGCGAUAUCUGUCACCCCAUUGAUUGCCAGUGUUGAUUCAGUGGAUCUGGCUGGCUAGGUGUGUGUCCCCUUCCUCCCUCACUGUUCCAUGUGCAUCCCUCCUGAAGCUGUGCACUCGGUCGAAGAGCACGACCACACCCGAUAGAGGAGGACCAGUCUGGUCAAGGGUAUAUGUGUAGCUGCACUCUCCUGCUAGAACCUCCAAACAAUCUCUCAAUACUAGAAGCUCAAAAAACACCUGAGAAAUUCAUUGAAAAAGAUUAUCGCCUAGGUAAAUAUUCAUUAUGUUAUCUAAAGUCAAGAUGAAGGAGAGAAUCUU